CAAUUAUCCCCGCAAUCAACGUCACAAAUACGAAAGAUUAGAUCUAUACAGACGAAAUCCACUCGAUUACAGCCACGUCCCCACUGUGUGUUGGAUCCCACCACUUUCCUACAACCUUAUAAACCUCAAACCCACCAUUUUUAUUUAUCACUUUUAAGCUCAAAUCUCUACUAUAAUAAACCUUCUCUCUCUCUCUCUCUCUCUCUCUCUCUCUAUACUGUGUUUGUUUCGGAAAAAUGGGAGGCUUCGAGAAGCAGGUAAAGGACAGAGCAAAGGAGGUCCAGAUUAUAUUCAAAAAGGGUUUCAAGAUUGUUGGGGAUUCUUGCAAGAAAGGAUGGUACAAGGUUAAGCACUUCAAGAAAUGACAGAAAUUCGAACUGUUUGUCUAAUUUCUUUAAUGGGUUGUUUUCAUUAAAUCAGAAAAAAAUUAUUCAAUUUUUAGGAUUGUUUGAUGUAAAGUGAUAUUUGUGUUUUCUUUUCUGGUUUUGUACCCUAUUCUUCAAUUCUUGAACUUGAAAUUUAUUACCGAAUUUUUGUUCGUUAAAUAAUUUAAUUUUGUUUUUAUGUUGGAUUUUUGCCUAUUUUUACACUGGACUGAGUUACAUGUAAAUGUAAUGUACAGCAUGUGAGGCCUGCCCUCAUUUUUUUAUUGAGGCCCCCUCUCCCCGUACCCCCGGGGGCCAACAUGUGCGGGGUUGUCAUACCAGCUGUGAGCUACCAGCAUCAAUUUCCUUUUACGCUACCUGUGGGUCAAGUCUGGUUUGUACAAUAAGAA
rnacentral:lncRNA from 1 species